rnacentral:misc_RNA from 1 species
AACCAUUCUCACCUGCGGCUAGACCUGCGGAAGGAUCAUUACCGAGUUUACAACUCCCAAACCCCUGUGAACAUACCUAUACGUUGCCUCGGCGGAUCAGCCCGCGCCCUGUAAAAAGGGACGGCCCGCCCGAGGACCCCUAAACUCUGUUUUUAGUGGAACUUCUGAGUAAAACAAACAAAUAAAUCAAAACUUUCAACAACGGAUCU